rnacentral:misc_RNA from 1 species
UCAACUUCCAAACUAAAAAUAUUCGGCCCCAUUGAGAAAAUUUUCUUUAGAUCCAGUUAAUCAUGAAUUCAAGAGACUAACAAAUGAAAUUUAUGUAUUCAACAGAUAGGUGGCACCAUACAUCUUAUGUCUCUAUUUAAGAAGAAUCCAAGCUGCAUUUCCAUUUACCCACAUAAUAAGAAAAGACAAUAUUGGCACAUCAUAGCACUCAAUCCCUCCACAAUUCCUGCACAUUGUUGAUAGCAAAGCAAUCAAUGAACAAAAUCCAUAUUAAUUCUAAUUUUUCAAGCUAGUGCUUUCUUGCUUUCACCCAAUUGAAUGAAUCUGAUAUACAAGAAGCAAACUACGCCCAUCUUUGUCAUCCUCAAUAAUAAUACUCACUUGGUGCCUUUGAAUUGACUAAAAAGAUUUACAAAUCAUCAAAAACUGGGGCUGCAUUUCAGGUCCUCUCUAACUUCAUUUCCACCGAUCAGAGACUAUCCACCCAUAUCAACUGCAUCUAGAGAUAUUUUCUUGCAAGGGCGCGAACUUUAGUGUCAAAAUGGGAUGAAGUAAUGCGAGAACCAGCUAAGUAGAGGGGAUUAAGAAGAAUCUGCAGAAUUCCCAAUACAAUUUAUGAGGCCAUGUUAGUCAAUAAUCAACCACUUCAUGGAGAAGGAACAAAAGAUUAUUCAAUAGAAAAUUCUUAAGAGUACUAAGGUGAUUCAAGAACUUAAGCAACAAAAUGAAGUUAAUCAAUGAACAAAAUGACAGGGUAACUUCCUCAGAAUGUUUCACAGAUCACAAACAUAAGGCGCCAAGGUGGCAGGCAGGGGCAAUCAUCAUGAAGAAUAAAAAUUAAAAAGUUAAGGAUGGAAUAUAUUUUAUUCAGAGUUAAUUUUCGACACACUACGGAUUUAGGUUUGCUUAUGAAGUUGAGAUAACUUAGAUUUGAGUUGAUUCCAGAAACAAUCGAAUAACGGCAUUUCUUGGUUGCAGAUUAUCUUCUUGCCUUAUUGGAUAGCAAAAUAAGUAAGAAAACUUCAAGCAUAUGCAGAAAGUAACGUUGGCCUAGCACACGCAUGCAUGCAUACAGAUUGCAGAUCAAAUAUGCCAAUCACACUUGUUUAUUUCGCCACAUAGAAAACAAGAUCACCAAAAAGAGCAAAAAAGGAUCAUACUAUCAUACUAACAAUAUGAAAUUUGCCUUCACACCAUUUAAAUAUUCCAGCUUAUUGCUUGUUAGAUAUACAAUGACACCAGAAAGUAAAUAUAUCUGUUAGAAAGAACACAUUACAUGUAAUUUAUUUAUUUACUUUUGGGGGGAGAGGUGGGCAGGCAGGGCCCUGCAGGGGAAGGAAGUCAUGUACCUUUAUAUAUAGCUCAUGAACCUCCUGAAAAAAGCUCUUGAUUCCAUCAUCAUUGUGAGGAUUGUGAAGUAGCAUAAAUCGUGUAUGUAUGAGAAGUCAAAGAAAAUAUCAAAUAGGGCAAUUAUGUCAACAGAAAAUCCCACGCCGAAGCAACCAUGCCUUAAAUAGCUAAGAACAAGGAAAUUUUGACAAUAUAAGAAAUCAAAUGACUCCAUUGUCAAGUUAUCUGAUGUCUGCUUUAUGGUAACAGUAGCACUACCACAGCAACAAUAAAAACAACUAAGCCUUAAUCCUAAACAGUGGCACUAUCACAGCAAAGAGAAAUUAAUCUUAAAAAAAUUAAUAUUAUUUCAAUUUACAAAUUUUCAUAUUUCACAGGGUUUAAACCCACCACAGCACACAUAAAACAGAAAAUUGCAAAACCAUACCAUUAAGUAGAAUAGAAUACAAUAAGAAUGAUACUAGCCUCAAAAAUUCACAGUAUGCUUACUAGCGAACAUGCCAUUACAGACAAAAGGUGCCUAUGCACAAUGUUGAGAGUAGAUAAAACUAUGAAGGCCACCAUGUGAAUAACCAAUUACUGGUCAUGAUCCAGAACUUCAGCAUAUUUCAUCACCAACAAUAUGCAACAAUGCCGAAUUCUCCUACUCCUAAUGAGAGUUUUGACUGACGGUCACAUUUACUUAUCUUGAAACCAAGGAGCAUUUUAAGCAUCCAAACUCCAAAGAUGUACUUUACAAGUUAUAUUUAUGGAGAUAAUCCAGUAUAUCCUUUUGCUUGUGUCAUGAUAAAUCACAUUUUUAUCAACAAAAAAGAAAUUAAGAACAUCUAGUUUAAUUUGAGUCAUUUGCUUUAUUGGGGAAAUCACAAAAAAAAAAGGAUAUUACCAGCUGUAACAUAAACUGAUACCACCAGAUCAUUAAAGUUGUCAACCGCUUUCAAGAACAUGGCACUAGUGGUCCAAGCCAGGUCCUGGACAAUAUCCAGAGCUGCAUGCAAAAUAAAUUGAUGCAGCUGAGCAGCAUCUUCUCUCUGUCAUCAUGUAAUAAGAUGAGCAAUGAGGGUUUACACAACCAGUUAGUUCAUUAAGCCAUCAAAGUAUGAUUAUAUAACACAACCAAAGGAAGUGGAAGCCAACAACCAUAGUGAAUAGAGGAUGCAAAAAAAGAAGCCGGCAUAGACAAUCACUUCCACACAUAUCAUCAACUUGACUACAAAAAUGCACCAAUAGAAACUUCUUUUUCAUUUCCUUUACCGUAUUCUGCUGUAUACUCUUUACAUUAUAUUGGACAAGCAGUUUCACAACACAAAUAAAUUUUAGCACCUUGUUCACAAGCCUAAACUUAUGCAGAAUCCAAUAAACCUUCUAGGAUUAGAUCACUGAUGGAUGAAACAACAGCAUUGGAGUGUUGAUGCAACAAUUAUUUCAAUUCCACAUUCCAAUUUAUUUCCAAACAAAUCACAAGACCAACGAAACAAACUUCCUAACAGUCCGCUACUGAACCAGCCCAAGAGCCUCAUCCCCAGAUUUCUAGGUCUUUUAUUGGAGAUAGAAUUGUAGUUAUAUUACACUAGGCAUUGUUCAGAGGCAAAUCUGUUUUGAUUGAAAAAAUUAUAUUUCUUGGGCUUCCUCCAUUAUCAGUCUAUUCAGUCUACACCACAAAUCAAAAUGAAAAUGAAAGAGAUCACCAUUUCCCUCUGAAAUGCACCAUCUAAAGAGCCAAAAAAAACCCAUUAACCACCUCGAAGAUUAGAAAUCCCAAUCAAACAAAAGCAAUGAAUAGAUGAGAAAAGAGAUGAUACUUUAGUGGCAGAUCCAACUUCAGCUUCAUAUAUAGGGAUAUCGUUCCUGCUCACUAUGAUAAAACAGGCUGUGGUUGCCAUCUCUUGUAAUGCAGAUGCCUUCGUUGCUUGCAGAGUCUCCGGUCUGCACCAAAACGACUUGAACGAUAAUGGUGAUCAUUCGGCUUCCUCUUUCGAAUGUCGACAGUUAGCCGAAGAUUUGUUCUAAUUUGGGCUUGGGCCUCGGCCUACGAAGUCAUCUGAGGCCUGAAUGAACGGCCCAGAUUGAGAACCCAGUAGGCAGUAUCGUCCAUAUCUCGGCACCGGUUCAACGCGCUGCCCGGAGGAGAUGGAAACGAAACCUAACUGGUAGGGAGGAACUGGGCAAGAAAGUGAAGGAAAGUAGUAGAACUGUCAGGUAGAAAAUGGGAAGCGAGGCAAAGAGCAAUAGCAGCAGUGGAGGAGGAGGAUUCAGGUCAAAAAUAGAUAAUUUCUUGUACAGUGGAGACAAGAAGCAUGUCUUGGCUGGUAUCGCCAUCAUCAGUGUUGCUUUUGGCGUCCCCUGGUACCUCAUGAGCCGAGGUUUUUUACUCUGCUUUGAUUACCAUUCUUUUAAAUCUCUUGGAUUUUAUGCUCCUAUGGAAUUUUCCUAAUUGGGAUCUGUUGCUAAUUUUCUUAAUAUUUUUAUUGAUUUUUUUGUUCUUUCUUUCUGUGGGGAAUUGAGGAUGAACUGUGCUUAAGCGGCAAAGGGUUGAACUUUAGUUUGGUUUCAUUUUUUAUUUUCCUUAUUUUUAUUAGAUCAAUGUGAAAAUGUUGGACGGGAAGCAUUAUUUGCUGAAUUUUACUUGGAAUAGUGAAAGGUAGGAGGAACUGAGGAUCAGAACUCUGAUUUUUAGCUUAUUUGAUCAUGGAAUAAAGGGCCCUAUGUUUUGUUCUUAAGAUUUAAUACACAGCAGGAUGUUUCAUUGCAUUGAUUGGGGGAGAGGAGGGAGGGGGGAAAGAACUUAGAAGAGUAAGAAAAUUUUCUUUUGUUUUUUGACCUAAAGCCAAUAAGCACAGUAGAGACUGUCAAUUGGUCAAACUCUUUGUUGUUUAUAAAAUUUUUUGAAAGUUAGUUGGAAAUCUUUCAAGGACUAAGAGUUUCUGUUUUGAUAAGUUUCUGACAAAUUGGUUAUUUGGUAUGCAAGUGUUACAUCAGUUGAGAUCCUUUUUACUGAAAAGCGAAUGGAUAGACUAAAAAGAAUGAAAGGUUAUGCUGUAUCAUUUUUAGGUAGUAUGAGGCUUUAAAAAAGUGCUAAAUGGAUGGUGUCCUUGAUGAUUAAUGUAAAAUAGCAAUUUUAUGUAGUUCAAUUGGAAGAAACGCCUUAAAUAAUUCUAUUUGAAUGUUCAGUGGUUACAAAGGGUAUUGAAUGAGUUAAUUUCUGUUGUAAUCAUUUCCUUGGGGUGGGGUUUACUGUUGUUGAAGGUCAAUAAUCAAUGUCUACAUUUGGGUUCCUGAUUACCUGGAUUUCAUUCAAGAAGUUGUUGCUUUGGUGAGGUUGCA